UACGGGGGAGCAAGCGUUGUUCGGAUUUACAUGGGCGUAAAGGGCGCGAUAGGCGGCGCAACAAGUCACUUGUGAAAUCUCCGGGCUUAACCCGGACGCGGUCAAGUGAUACUGUCGUGCUAGAGUGCGGAAGAGGCGGAGUGGAAUUCCUGGUGUAGCGGUGAAAUGCGUAGAUAUUGGGAGGAACACCAGUGGCGAAGGCGGCUCGGCUGGACCGGUUCUGACGCUGAGGCGCGAAAGGCGUGGGGAGCAACGGG
rnacentral:rRNA from 1 species